rnacentral:rRNA from 1 species
CUGCGAAUGGCUCAUUAUAUAAGUUAUCGUUUAUUUGAUAGUACCUUACUACUUGGAUAACCGUGGUAAUUCUAGAGCUAAUACAUGCUAAAAAUCCCGACUUCGGAAGGGAUGUAUUUAUUAGAUUAAAAACCAAUGCCCUCCGGGGCUCCUUGGUGAUUCAUGAUAACUCCUCGAAUCGCACGGCCUUGCGCCGGCGAUGGUUCAUUCAAAUUUCUUCCCUAUCAACUUUCGAUGUUUGGGUAUUGGCCAAACAUGGUUGCAACGGGUAACGGAGGGUUAGGGCUCGACCCCGGAGAAGGAGCCUGAGAAACGGCUACUACAUCCAAGGAAGGCAGCAGGCGCGCAAAUUACCCAAUCCCGACACGGGGAGGUAGUGACAAUAAAUACUGAUACAGGGCUCUUUUGGGUCUUGUAAUUGGAAUGAGUACAAUUUAAAUCCCUUAACGAGGAACAAUUGGAGGGCAAG